rnacentral:lncRNA from 1 species
UACAGCAUGAACAACAACAACACAAAGCCACUGAGGAUCAUGUUUCAUCAUUGGCCACCAUAUCAAACCGCCGUGUAUCAAGAUGGCAAGCUGUUCAUGGCAGGUGCUGGAGGAAAUGCACUCCGUGCUGUCGCCAGCAGCCUAAACUUUACAUACACGUUCAGACGUGCACGUGACUACGGUGUGCGCUUGUCGAAUGGCUCGUGGACUGGAAUGGUCGGCGCAGUACAAAGACGGG